UGAAUACGAGAUGCUACGGCGUCGAAGCAGUGUAUGUCAGACUUCCAAGAAAAGCUCGCAAUGUCAUAAAUAAAGAAUGCCUGUACCAUAACCGACACAGGUGGGUAGGUAGAGUAUACUAAGGGGCGCGAGAUAACUCUCUCUAAGGAACUCGGCAAAAUAACUCCGUAACUUCGGGAGAAGGAGUGCCUUCUUUAAGAAGGUUGCAAUAACAAGAUCCAAGCAACUGUUUAUCAAAAACACAGGUCUCCGCUAAGUCGUAAGACGAUGUAUGGGGGCUGACGCCUGCCCAGUGCCAGAAGGUUAAAGAAGUUGGUUAGCUUUUGCGAAGCUGAUGACUGAAGCCCUGGUGAACGGCGGCCGUAACAAUAACGGUCCUAAGGUAGCGAAAUUCCUUGUCGGGUAAGUUCCGACCCGCACGAAAGGCGUAAUGAUUUGGAUACUGUCUCGGAGAGGGACUCGGUGAAAUAGACUUGUCUGUGAAGAUGCGGACUACCUGCACCAGGACAGAAAGACCCUAUGAAGCUUUACUGUAACUUGAAAUUGAAAUUGGACUUUAUUUGCGCAGUAUAGGUGGAAGGCGUUGAAAGUAAUCUUGCGGGAUUAGUGGAGCCAUCAGUGAGAUACCACUCCUAUAAUGUUAGAUUUCUAACUUUGGAUCAUGAUCUGGUCAAAGAACAGUUUCAGGCGGGCAGUUUGACUGGGGCGGUCGCCUCCCAAAUGGUAACGGAGGCGUACAAAGGUUUCCUCUGAACGGGUAGAAAUCGUAUCUAGAGUGUAAAGGCAUAAGGAAGCUUGACUGUGAGACCUACAAGUCGAGCAGGGACGAAAGUCGGUCUUAGUGAUCUGACGGUGCUGAGUGGAAAGGCCGUCACUCAACGGAUAAAGUUACUCUAGGAUAACAGGCUGAUCUCCCCCAAGAGUUCACAUCGACGGGGAGGUUUGGCACCUCGAUGUCGGCUCAUCGCAUCCUGGGGCGGUAGUACGUCCCAAGGGUUGGGCUGUUCGCCCAUGAAAGCGGUACGCGAGCUGGGUUCAGAACGUCGUGAGACAGUUCGGUCCAUAUCCGGUGUAGGCGUUAGAAUAUUGAGAGGAGCCUUCUUUAGUACGAGAGGACCGAGAAGGACAUACCUCUGGUGUACCAGUUAUCGUGCCAACGGUAAACGCUGGGUAGCUAUGUAUGGAGAGGAUAACCGCUGAAAGCAUCUAAGUGGGAAGCCCACCUCAAGAUGAGUAUUCUC
rnacentral:rRNA from 1 species